rnacentral:rRNA from 1 species
AGUCUCAGUUCGGACUGUGGGCUGCAACCCGCCCACACGAAGUCGGAGUUGCUAGUAAUCCCGAAUCAGCAUGUCGGGGUGAAUGCGUUCCCGGGUCUUGUACACACCGCCCGUCACGCCAUGGGAGUCGGAAGUGCCCAAAGUCGAUGACCUAACCGCAAGGAAGGAGCCGCCUAAGGUAAUGCCGAUGACUGGGGUGAAGUCGUAACAAGGUAUC